GCUAAGGUGGCGGAGCGGUCUAACGCGAUAGACUCAAGAUCUAUUAUCAUUUGAUGUCGUGAGUUCGAAUCUCACCCUUAGCA
rnacentral:tRNA from 1 species